rnacentral:rRNA from 1 species
CCUACGGGAGGCUGCAGUGAGGAAUAUUGGUCAAUGGCCGCAGGGCUGAACCAGCCAAGUCGCGUGAGGGAUGACGGUCCUAUGGAUUGUAAACCUCUUUUGUCAGGGAGCAAAGGGCGCCACGUGUGGCGUUUUGCGAGUACCUGAAGAAAAAGCAUCGGCUAACUCCGUGCCAGCAGCCGCGGUAAUACGUAGGGGGCAAGCGUUAUCCGGAUUUACUGGGUGUAAAGGGAGCGUAGACGGGAGCUUAAGUCUGGUGUGAAAUCCCGGGGCUUAACCCCGGAAACGCAUUGGAAACUGGGCGGCUGGAGUGCAGGAGGGGUAGGCGGAAUUCCUGGUGUAGCGGUGAAAUGCGUAGAUAUUAGGAGGAACACCGGUGGCGAAGGCAGCUUACUGAACUGUAACUGACGUUGAGGCUCGAAAGCGUGGGGAGCAAACAGGAUUAGAUACCCCUGUAGUC